AUAUUGUUAGUAUAAGGUAUUAUAUCACUUUUCCAAAGUGAAGAUCUAAAGUUGUUAGACAAUGUA
rnacentral:tRNA from 1 species